rnacentral:rRNA from 1 species
AUUGAACGCUGGCGGCAGGCCUAACACAUGCAAGUCGAGCGAGCGGCGGACGGGUGAGUAAUGUCUGGGAAACUGCCUGAUGGAGGGGGCUAACUACUGGAAACGGUAGCUAAUACCGCAUACCAUCAGAUGUGCCCAGGUGGGAUUAGCUAGUAGGUGGGGUAAUGGCUCACCUAGGCGACGAUCACUAGCUGGUCUGAGAGGAUGACCAGCCACACUGAAACUGGGCCACGGUCCAGACUCCUACGGGAGGCAGCAGGGGGGAAUAUUGCACAAUGGGCGCAAGCCUGAUGCAGCCAGGCCUGGUGUAUGAAGAAGGCCGACGGGUUGUAAAGUACGUUCAGCGGGGAGUCGUUACCCGCAGAAGAAGCACCGGCGAACUCCGGGCCAGCAGCCGCGGUAAUUC